UUAAAACCUCUUCAACUCACACCUGACCUAAAACCUAAAUUCCUUACUUUCUUCUGCAAUGCCGCUUGACUCCAAUACAAGCUUGACAGUAGUUCCAAAUAGCCAGAAAACGGCACUUUCAAUUUUUCCAUCCUACAAGAUCUAAAUAAUUCUUGUCGUAAAAUGGGCAAAUGGUCUGAGGUACCUGAAGUCCAGGCAUUCCUUUACACAUCAGUCCCUUCCUAGUCUCUGUGCCCAGUGCAACUCGUCCCAAAUCUUUCUUCUUUCCCUCCCGCCUGUCCCCUCAGUCCCAACCCCAAGUGUCGCUGAGUCUUUCUGAUCUUCCUUUUCUACAGACCCAUCUGACCUCUCCCCUCCUCGCCAGCCCAAGCUAGGUCCCAAUUCUUCCUCAGCCUCUGCUCCUGCACCCUGUAAUCUUUUUAUCGCCUCCCCUCCUCACACCUGGUCGGGCUUACAGUUUCGUUCCGUGACUAGCCCUCCCCCACCUGCCCAGCAAUUUACUCUUAAAAAGGUGGCUGGAGCCAAAGGCAUAGUCAAGGUUAAUGCUCCUUUUUCUUUAUCCCAAAUCAGAUAGCGUUUAGGCUCUUUUUCAUCAAAUAUAACCCUGAGACGCUUCACAGCCCUAGGCCCUAAAAGGUCAAAAGGCAAUAUUAUUCUCAAUAUACAUUUUAUUACCCAAUCUGCUCCCGACAUUAAAUAAAACUCCAAAAAUUAAAUUCCGGCCCUCAAACCCCACAACAGAAUUUAAUUAACCUCACCUUCAAGGUGUACAAUAAUAGAAAAAGUUGCAAUUCCUUGCCUCCACUGCGAGACAAACCCCAGCCACAUCUCCAGCACACAAGAACUUCCAAACGCCUGAACCGCAGCGGCCAGGCAUUCCUCCAGAACCUCCUUCCCCAGGAGCUUGCUACAAGUGCCAGAAAUCUGACCACCAGGCCAAGGAAUGCAUGCAGCCCAGGAUUCCUCCUAAGCCGUGUCCCAUCUGUGCGGGACCCCACUGGAAAUUGGACUGUUCAACUCACCUGGCAGCCACUCCCAGAGCCCCUGGAACUCUGGCCCAAGGCUCUCUGACUGACUCCUUCUCGGCUUAGCGGCUGAAGACUGAUGCUGCCCGAUCGCCUCGGAAGCCCCGUAGACCAUCACGGACGCCGAGCUUCCGGUAACUCUCACAGUGGAAGACCUUGUAUCUUCCGUUUAGCUUCUCAGUUCAUCCAAAACUGUAUCCAGGCCAUCACCAAUCAUUCUAUAUGACAAAUGUUUCUUCUAACAUCCCCACAAUAUCAUCCCUUACCACAAGACUUCCCUUCAGCUUAAUCUCUCCCACUUUAUGUUCCCACGCCGCCCUAAUCCCACUUGAAGCAGCCCUGAGAAACAUCGCCCAUUCUCUCUCCAUACCACCCCCCAAAAAUUUUCGCCGCUCCAACACUUCAACACUAUUUUGUUUUAUUUGUCUUAUUAAUAUAAGAAGGCAGGAAUGUCAGGCCUCUGAGCCCAGGCCAGGCCAUCGCAUCCCCUGAGACUUGCACGUAUACAUCCAGAUGGCCUGAAGUAACUGAAGAUCCAUAAAAGAAGUAAAAACAGCCUUAACUGAUGACAUUCCACCAUUGUGAUUUGUUCCUGCCCCACCCUAACUGAUCAAUGUACUUUGUAAUAUCCCCCACUCUUAAGAAGGUACUUUGUAGUCUCCCCCACCCUUAAGAAGGUUCUUUGUAAUUCUCCCCACCCUUGAGAAUGUACUUUGUGAGAUCCACCCCUGCCCACCAGAGAACAACCCCCUUUGACUGUAAUUUUCCAUUACCUUCCCAAAUCCUAUAAAAUGGCCCCA
rnacentral:lncRNA from 1 species